rnacentral:rRNA from 1 species
GGAAACGGUUGCUAAUACCGAUAAUGCAGGGACCUAAUGGUGACAGUUGUUAAAGCGGGGGAUCGAAAGACCUCGGUCUAAAGAGGAGCCUGGGCGGAUUAGCUAGUUGGUAAGGUAUGGUUUACCAAGGCUAGAUCCGUAACCGGCCUGAAAGGGGGUCGGUCACACUGAACUGAAUAGGGUCUAGACAUCCUACAGGGAGGCAAGUUCGGGAAUUUUGGGCAAUGGGGAAAGCUUGACCAGAAAGCCGGUGAAGGAUGAAUUCCCUCGGGAUGUAAACUUCGCAAGAAUGAGAAGAAUAAGUAGGGGACAAUACCCCCUAUGAUGACGGUAUCAUUUGUAAGCUCCGGCUAACUCCGUGCCAGCA